rnacentral:lncRNA from 1 species
UCGAAUGAUUAGUCAUGUUCACACUUAGUUCCAUUUAUCUUCUAAUCUGGACUCUUGAUUAGAGAGAUUACUUCUUGACCCUUGAUCUUUAAGUCAUGUUCACACUUGAAUGGGAACUGGUUGCCUGCUUCACUUAAAUAUGAUCCGAUUUGAGUUCCAUUUGAAUCAUAUAAACCCAAACUCUCAAUUACCUAUAAAAUAGACUAGAGAGCAUCAAAAUUUUAAUAAAUAAAGAAUAAUUAAAUAGACUUAAGUGCCUCUAGUAACUAAAUUU